GCCGAGUCUACAUUGGCUACCAUGCCAUCACUGGUUGAUCUGCAGGGGACACCAGUAUCUGAUGGUAUCAGCUGGGAAGCUGUACUGGUUAAUAGAGCAGAUGAUGCUGCACUUAUAGAACUCGAACAGAGGGCCCUAGUGAUGACUCUUGAUUUGAAAUCAGACCCUCUAAAUUUGGUGCAGAGCCUAGCUACAUUGGUUGCUCACCAUAUGGGUGGAAUAGUUUGUGA
rnacentral:misc_RNA from 1 species